GACGAAGGAUGCAAGCGUUAUCCGGAUUCAUUGGGUUUAAAGGGAGCGUAGGUGGCCUUAUAAGUCAGUGGUGAAAUCUCUGGGCUUAACCCAGAAAUUGCCAUUGAUACUGUAGGGCUUGAGUAUAGUUCCGUUGGCGGAAUAUGACAUGUAGUGGUGAAAUACAUAGAGAUGUCAUAGAACACCGAUUGCGAAGGCAGCUAACGAAACUAUAACUGACACUGAGGCUCGAAAAGUGCGGGGAUCAAACAGGGAUUA
rnacentral:rRNA from 1 species